ensembl:lncRNA
GUCCAAGUCUUUGUGACCCCACGUACUAUAGCCCACGAGGCUCCUCUGUCCAUGACAUUUUCCAUGUUGAAAAAAAAAAAAACCAUUUAAUUUAUGGAAUUUGUUAUUAGAUCUCUUAAAGUCACAAGCUAGAGUAAUAAAUAAAUUCUCCAAGGAGAUCUUUCCUAAAAAUAUGAUCCUAGAUUUGCAGUGAACCAUCCCCCUAUAUGAAAAUCUCAUUUCUUGCAAGUAGAAGGAACAGUUUCCCUUAGAUAACAAAAUACAUAAUGAUGUUUCACCUAAAAAUAGACAGUUGUAUAAAUAUUUAAGAUAAAGCUGAUAUGGCCCAUGUGUCUACUGAGAAAAAUAGUUCUCUACCUUCUUAUACUCAACACUAAAACUUGUAAAAUAUUUCAAGGAAGAUAUCUUAAAAGAUUUUCCAUUCUCAUGAUGCUCAUAUAAUUGAAGAAUAUGGUUAAAAUAAUUAUGUGAGAAUUAUCUAUGUGCUUGACAAGAACAUAUUUUUAAAAUAAUAGAAUUAACCAAAAGAAAAUGUGUUAAGAUCUCAUCCCAAGCUACCCUCAUCUAAGAUAUUUGAAAGCCAUUAUCCUUCGCAGGUGACUCAGCAGUAAAGAACUCGCCUACCAAUGCAGGAGGCAUAAGAGCUGUGAGUUCAAUCCUUGUGUCAGGAAAAUCUCCUAGAGGAGGGUAUGGCAACCUACUCCAAUGUUCUUGCCUGGAAAAUCCCACAGACAGAGGAGCCUGGUGGGCCACAAUCCAUGGGGUCACACAGGGUUGGACACAAAGGGUUGGACAUGACUGAGCUGACUUAGUGUCAUGCAUGCUUUCUACUACUACUACUAUCCUUGUGGAAGAUGAAUUCCCAGUUUUCAGAAACAAUAGUGCAAUUAACAUUCUCAUUCUCAGUUUUUAUAUGAAAAUCAAAGCUGAGAAUGCAUAACUUUUGGCUUUGGCAACCCCCCAAAAAGUAUGUUUUUGGCACACUUUUCUGUAUUACUGAGUUAUUUUGUGUAAUGCACCGGACUUACACAGGUGUCUCAUAAAAUUGCCUUCAAUAAUUUCCAUCCUCUUUUUUCUAAAGUAAUGAGCAAGAUUACAGUCAUGUCUGACUAUUUGCAACCCCAUGGAAUAGUCCAUGGAAUUCUCCAGGCCAGAAUACUGGAGUAGGUGAGCCAUUCCCUUCUCCAGGGGAUCUUCCCAACCCAGGGAUCAAACCAGGUCUCCCUCAAAGCAGGGAGAUUCUUUACCAGCUGAGCCACCAGGAAAACCCAAGAAUGCUGGAGUGGGUAGCCUGUCCCUUCUCCAGCAGAUCUUCCCUACCCAGGAAUCAAACCAGUGUCUCUUCCAUUGCAGGUGGAUUCUUUACCAGCAGAGCUAUCAGGGAAGCCCUGGCAAGCCCCCCAAAAAUGGGAAAGGAAGCAUAUAUCUGAUUUCCUUUUCCUUUUUUUGCUAAGGGUGUAAAUUUAAAGUCAUUUGAAAAUUGCUUAUAACACUAUUAACUAUAUCUUUCCUUCUAAAUACAUGAGUAGAUUUUUAAAAGAAAAAAUGUCAUUUUUCCUUCCUCAUUUGGCAAGCAUUUCUGAUAGAGACUUUUUUGAUCAAUUAGUGCCACUUUCUUACUUUUCCAAUUAUACUGUCUUUGGGGAGGUUUUGAAUACAGCUUUUGAAAAAAAAAUCCUCUUGUAGGUCAAAUCCUGGGAAAUUAGAAGGAUGUGAUUUUAUAUUUUUCUGGAAACAUAGAACUGGGCGCACAGGUCCCCAUACAUUGGUUGAUAUUUUCUAGAAAUGUGUUUUGGCCUGUUGGUGUAAAAGGAAUGGGACUUCCACCUAGUUUUGCCCAAAUACCUAAUCAUCUACUGCCAUAUUGAUUCUCCACUAACUAUAGCUUAGCUUAAAUGUUCUCAACUAAAUCAACCCUCAGCUCUCAUAUACACUAAUUGUCUUACCCCUAGCGUUUGCUGCUAACAUCUUCAGUUCAGUUGCUCAGUCGUGUCCGACUCUUUGCAACCCCAUGAAUCACAGCACGCCAGGCCUCCCUGUCCAUCACCAACUCCCGGAGUUCACUCAAACUCAUGUCCAUCGAGUCGGUGAUGCCAUCCUAACAUCUUACUAACAGGCAAAUUCACCCUUUCAACCAGCUGGUACAUGAAAUUUCUCCAGGGGGAAGGAUAACGGGUGGGUACAGAGUGGCAUGAUGUCAAUGCCAAGUCACUGGAGCCUAUUUAAUAAACUGUUUCAUUAUGUCUUAGAGUCUGUUUGGGACACUUACUAUUAGAAAUACUGAGAUGACUUUAUUUUAUUGAUAUUUCAUCAACAACUUUUGUUAUAUUGGAUCUAAGCAAAGGAUGGCAUCAUGCAAAAAUGUAAAGUUAUUUUUAUUGUUACAAUUUGCAUUUGUAAAAUGUCUUUGAUAUUUCAGUCUAAAACUUCAAGCACAAGUUUUUGCUGCCAUUAGUAAUCCAAUAGGAAACUUGAUACCCUGAAUCUUGGUAAAUGUAUGCAUGAGGCUUAAAAUACCCUGAUGUUUUCAGAUUGCUCUCACAGAUUGCAUAGAUUUACUUUUUUUUCUUAAAUAAAUGACUAUCUUUCUCAUCAAAUGGAUUGGGAAUUUUCCCAAUAAGCACCCAAAGAAACUGUGAGCAUUAGAUUGCAUCAGUGGCUCUCUUUUAGUAUCCCCUUUUCCCACUUCUGACUCUUAAUCCUUGUGUACAUCUUUCAGAAACAACUGCAAAUAGUGAGAGAAAGUUAAAAAAAAAAAAAAAAAAAAAAAAGUUGUCCUCCCUUUCAAAAUGGACUAAACCUACUUAUCUUUAAAAAUGUAACUGUUGCAAAUUUUUAACAUUAGACACAAAACCAAGAGAGAUGCUUUUAAAUCUCAGAUAUGAAGCAAAGAUUGCAUGUAUGCAAAGCUCUCAGGGAAUUUGUGUUAAAUCAUUGAGACAUGGAGUUUACUAACAUUACUAACAUCAGUUCCCAACCACUACCCUCCCCAUCCUGUUCAUACAGUAUCUAGAGGCAAAUAAGAUGUAGAGCCAGGAAAUAAAGAUCACUAUUAAUGUCAUAAUCACAUCACCAUUCAGUUACUAGAUGGUGAAAGGAAGUGGGCAAAAGAUAUGGAAUCAAUGCUAGUCCUUGAACCAGAUCACCGCCUUGCUCACCCCUGUGAUGGAUAUGGUCUGUGAACAUUAGAACCAUGCCAGAAGGAUAUUUUUCACUUGAGAUGAAUAUUACUUGCAGAGAUUCCUUUCUGCUCUGAGCCAGAAUAUUGUGUUUGACUCAAACCUUUCCAAACAGAAUCAUGCAGCUCCAUCACAUACUUGUUGCCUGCUUGGAGAGUGAAUCUCUCUUUCCAAACUGGUUGCCAUGGAACCAAUUUCAGCAACACUAAGUACUGGACCUAGUGAUGAGGAGUCUAAACUUUCAUUUUUUUUUCUUUGCUGCUAAUGCACUGACACUCCCAACUCGAAAAAUCAUGUUGUCGGUAAAAUGAAAAUAAUAAUUGCUUUGUCAUUGUUUAGAAUUAAUUCAUAUAUUUUCCAAACUUGAAGCUUCCACUUACUCAAAUGAGAUCUGUGGGUUUACCCAAAGACUAGGUUUGUUUUGUAAAGAUACCAGAAUUGGUUUGGGACCCUUUAAAGCAACAGACAAGAUAAUAACAUUUGAAAACAAUAAAGGUUCAGCACAGACUGCUGGGUUAGAGGAGG